AAUUCAUGACACUGAUUAUUGAGUUUGCAAAUUAGCAUAUUUUGUGUACUGUUAUGCAUUUAUCUGCGUCUGAAGUUUCAGGCGGUGGUCUAGCUUAAGACUGUUACAGGAGUUCGGCUCAUGCCUAAGUCCAGGCCCUACCCUAUAAGAAAAACACAAGGGAAAGCAUUUCACCUAGAGCAAAGUUCUAUGUCCCUUUGGUUUUUCGCUUGCUGUAUUUUUUUCUAAAUAUAUACAGUGCUUUAGGGUAUAGCGGAUUUUAGGGUAUAGAGAAUAGAUUGAUAAAUUUUAUAUUUAGACUUGAAUUAUUGUAUAAAUUUUCAUAUCUUUCUUUUACUGGCAUACAAACAGACAUUCUGACAUACAUUUUAAAUAUUUGCUUGUGUUAUUUUUCAUAUGUCAUCAAAUGUAAAAUAAAGCUAUCCAUGUACAAAUUGUCAGUGAAUGAAAAGUAUUUGAUAGUAAUUUAAAAAGCUGAAUGUUUUUGAAAAGAGAAUACAUUAUUAUUCUGAUUCAUAUUAAAGAAAUCUUGGAAAGUUUGUUAAGAUGUGGAUUUUAAACUAAUAAUAGAAAAAAACGACCAAAGCUAUCCUGGUAGCAACCCCAGCUUAUCACUGAUAAGCCUCCAGAUUAACUGGAAAACUGCAGAAAUCUGAUCCCAGUCGUAAACUUUUUCAUGUAAAAUCAUCAAAUGAUAAUCAAUCAAAACAAGAUAUUCAUGUUUAAAAAGCUAAUAAAAUUAUCUACAAUUUGCAUAUUUUAUUUGUUAUUUUAUUGCCAUAUUAUCAGAUUUAUGAUCUUGUUAUCCAACAGAUCACGGUAAUUUACACCCGAUCUGAGAUAAACAGUAAACAUGCAGCGUUCGCGUGACACCAUGUGUCUUUGUUUCAAUAUGCCACUGGUUUAAUAGCUAUGAAUAUUAAUGAGUUAAAUUUAUCCAAUCAGAAAAAAGGUUUAUGAAUACAUUACAAUUUGAUGCAUAUUCGUACGAUACUUAUACGCAAAGAUAUAGUCCCCCAAAGUUGACCGUUUUUUUCUCAGAAAAUACGAAUUUUUCAGACAUGCACCAAUGCAAAAUAUACAUAAGUUUAAUUUGGUACCAAAAUCAUUUUUCGGAAACGCCAUUUACCCGGUCGCAUUUAUUUCUGAAAAUUGCAAUUUUCGGAAAAUCCAAAGGUCACGCACGUUUCAGGCCGACCGCCAUUUUGAAAUUUAUGAUAACACAACACCGAUACAAAAUAUCGUUAAAAAUCAAUAAAUCUGUUCAUUAAAAAAACAGGAAAACGAUUAAAAAUGAAAUGAAUGUUAAAUCAUAACAUUUGGUCAGCUAUGACAGAGAUAUACCUAGGCCCAUUUUGUGAUUGUGAUGCACACAGUACUAUCACAAAGUUAUAGACUGGACGUAUCAAGAAAACAAUCAAACCAUUAUUAAACAGCAUUAUGAUUGAAAUAAACCAUUUUGUCAAGACACCGGGGUUCAAAUAAAGUGAUUUGUUUAAUGUCUUUGUGCAUUCAAAUCAGUGUCAAUAAGACUGACAACUGGUACCCUGGCUUUGAGAAAGUUGUGAAUGAUUCUACAGCGGUUGUCAAGUUCAUGACUCACUGUUGUAAGCUGGCCACUGAGAGAAGAUAAGCAAGUUAUAAACAUUUAGUUCGUGAUUGGCCAGAAAUUGGUGCCAGACUGUAUAAAUGGGUUUAGAUGAUGGUGAACAUAAGCACUUACAUACGGUAUUCAGCCAGUUGAGCAGCGACUUUUUCCGUUAACGUUAACCACACUACCAGUAGAAGUUUAAUUCAAAACUGACAUUUUUCAUUUCACUUUUAAUUAGUCACUCUUGGGUCUAGUAAAUAUGUAUCAUAGUUUUUAUGAGCAACUUGAAAUGAAUAAAUGCAGGUGGAAAUAAUUCUUUAUCAAGAGUAAAACUAUUUAAAUUAAUGGUAGAUAAUUUUAGCAAGUCGUAGCAGUCUAAUAGUGAAAAAAUAUUCAACAGAAAAAUAUGAAAUCAAUAUUAUUUGAAAAUAUUAUAUUUUAUUUAUAAACUUGUUCUAUGUAUAAUAAAUAUAUCUACACUGUCUUGUUCUGUAGUAAUAUUUAAAUGAAUCUGUUACAGUGAUCAUGAAAAUGUAUGUGUAAGUGACAACUGAAAUUAUUUGAAAAUAAUGUAAAAACUUGAAAAAUAAAUUGCAUCAACCUGA